GGUGCUGACGCUGAGCGGGCGGUUGAAGGCCAGGGCAGCGCUGACUUUCGUCUGUCGAGCAAGGGUGAAACCGACGUUCGAUGCGCCGUUGGCGCCG
rnacentral:tRNA from 1 species